UUUGACUAACACCACUGUGAUCUGUUUUAAGCAAGUGGGGUACUUGGACUAGGGUGACCUAGACUAGGUUUUAAAUGUGCUCUCUUGUACGGCCCCAUUGUGCAACCAAUUGUGUAUUUUUACGCACUUGUUUUAUCAUGUAUUGAAUCUAUCUAGACUCAAUGAAUCUAAACGUGACAACUUCUAACGGUGGAUCUCUUGGCUCGUGCAUCGAUGAAGAACGUAGCCAGUUGCGAUAAAUAGUGUGAAUUGCAGAAUUCAGUGAAUCAUCGAAUCUUUGAACGCAAAUUGCGCUUUCUGGAUAUCCAGGGAGCAUGCCUGUCUGAGCGUCGUUUAAUAGUCCACACACCUUGGUGUGGGUAGGGAGUUCAUGUAACUAGCUUGCGCUGGAUACCUGUCUCUCGAUGUGUCUGAACCUUGCUCGUACUUGCUUAUGUACUUGCUUGGAAGGCUCAACUUGCUUCUGCCCUUCUAAAGCUCCGUACUUGCUGUGUGCUGCUCGCGUUCUUUGAGGCUUUUCACAAAGUUUCAGCAUUUCUUUUUGACCUCAGAUCAGACAAGACUACCGCUGAAUUUAAGCAUAUCAAUAAGCGGAGGA
rnacentral:sRNA from 1 species